ensembl:ncRNA lncRNA:CR44965 long non-coding RNA:CR44965
GAUGCACACGCCUAAACGAAAUGGGAAGCUGACUAGUUAAUGGUCCGCUUGCAUAACGAUGAGCACACCAGUGGUCCGGACUAUUCUAGACCCCCUGCUUUCGUAACCACAGACGGACUAACGUACUGCGAUUUGCAGCUAGUUAAAUCUGUAAACUCUCGGAUGCCCUGAAAGUAGACAGCUGACAAGAGCACCCCCCAUACAUCUUAAUUAUUCGAUUGGAUGCAAUCCAACUGACUGGCUUUAUAUAAAUCUACUUUCCGUCUUUCUAAGUUUCAAGUAGUGUUCAUUAUGUGGAUGACCAGAUAAUAUAAACAAUUAAAUUAUGCACAUAGUAUUCAAUAGUAUUCAUCACUCUUUCAACAAAGAGCACCAACCGAUCACGGAAAAAAGCGAGACGGGGAUAUCGGAUUUGUUGGAUUGGAUAAAUGUCUAAAUAUAUAAAGUACAUGCCCACAACCAAAUGUCUUUGAAGGCAAAUCGUUUUCAAUGAUUAUAGCCGCAUCUUCUCAAGCGAAAUAAAUU